CUCAAUAGUGCUUCCCAUUUCUGACCCUUCAGGAGGGCCUACUGAAGAGGAGGCCGAGAGCAUGUCGGGCGGCUCUUACCUUCCUGGCUACUCCGGGAAGGAGAAGCUGGACGUUGUCCGCGGGAUGCUCAAAGGAGUUCCCAAGGAGGUAGCCCACAACAUGAAGGGCUUUCAUGAUGGGCAUAUUAUGCCC
rnacentral:pre_miRNA from 1 species